UACGUAGGGUGCGAGCGUUAAUCGGAAUUACUGGGCGUAAAGCGUGCGCAGGCGGUUGUGCAAGACAGAUGUGAAAUCCCCCGGGCUCAACCUGGGAAUGGCAUUUGUGACUGGAAGGCUAGAGUGUGUCAGAGGGGGGUAGAAUUCCACGUGUAGCAGUGAAAUGCGUAGAGAUGUGGAGGAAUACCGAUGGCGAAGGCAGCCCCCUGGGAUAACACUGACGCUCAUGCACGAAAGCGUGGGGAGCAAACAGG
rnacentral:rRNA from 1 species